CUGCGUCCGGGCUCACAUUCUACAACCAGCAGCAGAUGGGGGAGGGAUUGACCCACCCCCGCAGGGAUGGCGGGAUAGAAUAACAGGAAGUUGCCUCCCAUCCCCUCUGCAGCUGGAGUGAUAACAGCUGCCAUCUGAGUCCGGAAAACAAAAGAAUCAAAAGGAAAGCUGAAAACAGGCCAGGGCUGCAGCGGCAAGAGUUCAUCCCCAGGGGUUCCAGAAAGCAGUCAAGCUGGAAGAGCCCACCACCAAAGAAAGAUCUUUCUCCUAGCAAGAAGAUCCUGCUCUUCUGACUUUUUCCCACAAAGACCUCUGUCUUGUGUCUUAUUUAAUCCUUGCAACCACUCAUUAAGGAACCUGAGCUGCUUUGGGAACCCUCACUGCCCGAUCCUCCACAGGCUCACCGUCCAUUUUCCCGGUCGCUCAUCUUCUCGCCCAACACCAGCCUUUGAUUUGCUUAUAUUACAGGAUUACCAACCCCUCUCCAAAGACGAUGAUCCUU